AGACGAUGAUGAUGAUGAUGAUGAUGAUGAUGAUUGAUUAAUGUCAACACUUGGAAAAGAAUAGAAAAAAAAAUUUUCUUUUCUUACCUGUUCGUUAUUAUAACUUUUUCCCUUGAAAUUGUUUUCAUCUUGAUUCGGUUUCCUUAUGUUGGUGUUUUAUGAGUAAAUUGUGACAGAUUAACUAAUUAUAGUUUUCUACUCUUACCUGUGUGGGGUAACAAUCAAUCAAAUCAUCAUCUAUAUCUUGAUCAUCAUCAACCGGAAAUAAUAGUUUAAAUUUUUUCCAUUCUUUAUCUUGUUUUUUGUUUAUCUUCACUCUGACAUUUUUUUUACUACAUUGACCUGUUGCUAUUUUUGAUUGUGGCUCCUUUUUGUGUAUUCAUUUGGUUUAAUAAUCAACUUCCAUAGCCCCAAGAUAAUCAAUCGGUUCCCAUGGAGAUAAGACAAACAUCGACUGACUUUUAUUCCAACAUAAGAUAAGAGAAAAAUAAUUGACACUAAAAAUCCUCUUGGGACAUUUUUCUCUUUCACUUCCUUUGGCUGUUUGAUUAUUUUUCUUUUUUUUUUAAAUCUAAUUUCUCUCUUCUACUCUCCUUCUUUCAUCUAUUGUGAGAUUUUAUGUGUUAAUCGUUUUAAUCUUCUUCUUCUUUAUCAAUCUAAAUUGUCAACUAAUCAGUGUAAAGAUUGUUUUGAUUUUCUCUUUCAUCACUUUACCUUCAACUCUUCAUCUUAUAUUACCAAUGAUCUUCCAUUGUUUUUAUCAUCAUCUCAUCGUCAUGGUUUUCAUUUAAUCUUUUUCGUUGUCUCUUUUUAUCUCCUUUAUUGAGCCGGUUGCUGAUUUAAUUUUUUACCAUGAUCAGAGAGAGUCAUCAUCAUUUUCUUCAUCAUCUUACCUGGUGUCAUUGAAUUGAAUGGACAAUUUAGCUGUGAGAAAACAAGAGAAAGCUCAAAAAGUAGUAACUUCUUUAAUGAAUGAAAGGAGAAAGGAAAAGAUUUGUCUUACAGAUGGAUGACAACUUUUCCUCUCUCUCUCUCUCUCUCUCUCUCUCUCUCUCUCUCGUCUUCUCCUGAUUUUGAAAAGUUCCACUGCCUUUUUUAUGAAAGAUUAUUAUCACUCUUUUUUCUGGUUUCCUCGGUCUGUGAGAAAAUAAGUGCAAGGCACUACAUGAGGAUAAGAAACAAGAAGAGGGAGGAAGAAGGAGAGAGCAGAAAACUAGAGAGAGAGAGAGAGAGAGAGAGAGAGAGAGAGAUGGUGAUGAUGAAAAAAGUCAGUGGAUGAAUAAAUAAGAGUCUUAAGCUUCUGGAUGUUCAUGUUUCCAUUUACUAUGUAAUAUUACAAGAUGACGAUCGUUGCGGUUGAAAGCCUAUGGAAAGUUAAGCAUGUGGAUAUUGGUGGUUACUCUCGCUCUCUCUCACACACACUCUUGUUGUUUUCUACUCCAUUGUUGUUGGUUCAAGAUUUUUCAGAGAACUAUGUUCUCAGAACGAAAUUAAGGAAAAGGUUGUCACACACAAAGUGGAAUUAUUGUCAUAAAGAAAUUAUCAUAACGAAAUAGAAGAAAAGGCUAACGUGUCUGAUUGUCCUUCCAUAAAAACGAUUUAUCCAUUUCCCAGAACUUUACCAAACUUUUCCCAGAGAAAAAAGUGAAUUUAUACCUUGAUUGUGUAUAUGGAUCCCAGUGUUUUUUUUGUCUUCAAUAGUUGACGCUUUCCUCUCGUCAUCAUCAUCACCAUCAUCAUCUUCUACUUGCUUCUUACUCUUCAACUUAUUAUUCUCUCUCACCUCUCUUCUUCUCUCUCGUCACAAAUGGAUGCAUCUCUCUCUCUCUUCGACAGUAACCUUACCUUUACGGAGGAAAAAUACGUUACCAACCUGGCAUCUUACCUUUUUUAUCUUCCGUACCCAGUUCCAAGGUAAAUCUACAUGUAUUAAGGUAUAGAUUUGUGAUCUUCGCGUUCUCUCACUCACUCUCCUUACUCUUAAAUUUUAAUAAGAUUACGCAUGAGAAAGAAAAAGAACUCUUUUGACCUCCUGUUGUCCUUUGUUAUUGAGACUCACAUCAUCAUCUUUUUCAUCUUCAUCAUCAUAUCCAUCUCCAUCUCCAUCUUCAUCAUAAUACUUAUCAUGCUGUCGUUCAUUGGACCAUGUACAAUAUUAGAUCCAUGUAUAUGUUUCAGAAUGAGAUUUAAUUGGAAACCGCCAAUGAUCUGGAAAAAUCAGUCAAUUGUGCAUAUCAGAAACGAUAUUUACUCUAUUUACAUUUAUGCUAAUUUAUAACAAUAACAAUUACAUUUACAUUAUGUUAAAGAACUAAUAUUAAUUGUAAUCAUCUACCGAUAAUAUUGUAUAUCCACCUUAUUCGAUUAUCAUUUACAUUAUUUGCUUAAUUCUGUAGCAUUAGACACACAACGGAUAACACCCAAUGUAAAAUGGAGAUGAUGAUGAGGAUGAUAAGGAAAGAAAGAUAAAGAUGAAGUUGAAGUUGAAGGUGAUGGCGAUGUUGAUGUUGAUGUUGAUGUUGAGCUUGAUGAUGAUGAUGAAAAUAAGGAAUAUGAUUAUACCGGAUGUGGAUCCUUUUUUAAUGGACUUUAGCUUGACUAUUGGCUCCUUCUCUCUCUCUCUCUCUCUCUCUCUCUCUCUCUCUCUCUCCCUCUUCUUUUCUCGUCCAAAGACUUAGUGUUUUUCUUAAAAACAUUGGGUCAUCCUCUUUGGGUGACCUGAGAAAUUUAGUUUCUUCAAUGACUUUUUUUACACAUCUUCCUCUUCUCUCUUCUCUCUUUCUAUUACUAUUUAUCCCUCUCCCUCUUCAUCUCUCUCUCUCUCCUCUUUCUAUUAUCCAUCCUCCCUUUCUCCUUUCUCUUUCUCUUUCUCCCUCCAUCUUCAUCUUACAACAUUGAUCUUUUACUAUAAAAAAAAAACCUAAAUUCAAUACGCAAGGUGAAGAGGAGAGAGAGAGAUAAAUGUAAGAGCGAUCCCAUAUCAACAGUAUUGAUACAAAUCAACUUUAUUGAAUAUUCACCUUGGAUUUACCGAUGAAAUGAGCUCAUUAAUCAACUACAAUCAUUACUACCAUCACUGGUGCCGAAUCAAUUUAAUCCAAUACAUUAAUGUAAUCAUGGUAUUCAUCCAAUUAUCUAUCAUCAGGCAACAACAAUGAUCAAGUGAAUUAACUAAUCUUUUAUAAGGAAAAUGAAAAAAUUUUGCCGAAAUUCAAUUGAUUAACAUGUUAAAUAAUCAAACAAACAAAUUGUCCGAAUAAUAGUUAACAUUCAUUGAUCUGAUUUACUUAAUGAAAUUAAUCAUUAAUCAUAACAAUCUCGAUAAUCAAUUGAAAAAAAGAGUAACAUUGUUAACUUAAUUGUUACGAUAGUUUUUGUAUUCUGUCCAAUAACAUGAUUACAAUUACGAGGAAAGUUGAACAUGUGAUUGUUAUCAUCAUCAUCGUAAUAACUAACACACUUUAAAUUGUGUUGAACAUUAAUUGUGUUAAUGUUUGUUUAAAUAUAAUUAAGGAUAAAGAAACUGAUUAAGAGCAGCAGUUAACAGCAACAAUUAAUUCAAUUACGAUGGAAAAUUAAAAUGAACAUUUUUUUUACUAAUCGUUUUUGUGUUGGAAACAAGGAAACCAAAUUAACUUACCACUCAUCUAAAUUGUUUAUAUUUAAACAGUUAAAUUAUCAACAAUCAAUUGAUGACAUUCACUUAAUACUACGCAAUUAAUGUCAAAAUCAAUUGUCUCUCUAUUUUGAUUCAUUGAAAUUCAAUUGAUCACAAUUAACUCAGAAAACCUUGAUCAUGACCUAUGGUGGUUAAGAUUUUGAUGAUGAUUGAUUGAUUAAUGUCAACACACAGAAUUGUGAAAGAUUAAUUGUAGUUUCUAUCCUUACCUGUGUGGGGUAACAAUCAAUCAAAUCAUCAUCUAUAUCAUCAUCAUCUUAAUCUUUAUCUUCAUCACUAUCAACCGGAAAUAAAAGUUUAAAUAUUUUCCAUUCCGCCAUUUUUAUCUCUAUCCGAUUGUGUUGAUUGUUUUCAUCUUUUUCUUGUUUCUAAAUGUUUUGUUUACUAUUAAUUAACUUGUUCAUCUUCAUAUUACCAAUGAUCUUUUCGGCAGCAAUUAAACCGUUAAUUGUUGCGAUGUUUUCAUAAUUGUAACAAUUUACAUGUUUCUCUCUCUAGACACAAUUGAAGAUGAAAACAAUCAACGAUUAUCAUAAGACGAUUUGAUGAUCAGUUGAUUGGAUUAAUAAUUCUAAGGUUGAGUGUCUUUCCAUGGGACAUUUAUUUUAGAAAAUAAAAAAUGGACCCGCAAAUUUACCUUAGCGACUGUACAUAUGGAGAUCAUCUUGGUCUUGACCGUUUCUCCCUUCCUUUCAUCUUCUCUCCUCUUCUCCUUCCUGUUUCUUACCUUUCGUCUCUCUCUCUCUCUCUCUCUCUCUCUCUCUCUCUC